rnacentral:rRNA from 1 species
AUACGGAGGGUGCAAGCGUUGUCCGGAUUUAUUGGGUUUAAAGGGUGUGUAGGCGGUGUAUUAAGUCAGUGGUGAAAGCCUGCGGCUCAACCGUAGAACUGCCAUUGAUACUGACACACUUGAGUAUGGACGAGGUAGGCGGAAUUUAUGGUGUAGCGGUGAAAUGCAUAGAUACCAUAAAGAACACCGGUAGCGAAGGCAGCUUACUAGGCCAUAACUGACGCUGAGGCACGAAAGCGUGGGGAGCGAACAGGAUUAGAAACCCCGGUAGUCC